AAACCAUGUUGUGGCCAUCGUCUGAAUAAAUCCUUGUAGUGUUCCUAUGCCUCAUAGAGUGUCUCAUCAUCUUGUUGGGUAAAGGAAGCAAUAUCAUGUCAAAGCUU